rnacentral:rRNA from 1 species
AGAGUUUGAUCCUGGCUCAGGAUGAACGCUGGCGGCGUGCUUAACACAUGCAAGUCGAGCGAAGCGCUUAAGUUUGAUUCUUCGGAUGAAGACUUUUGUGACUGAGCGGCGGACGGGUGAGUAACGCGUGGGUAACCUGCCUCAUACAGGGGGAUAACAGUUAGAAAUGACUGCUAAUACCGCAUAAGACCACAGGGUCGCAUGACCCGGUGGUAAAAACUCCGGUGGUAUGAGAUGGACCCGCGUCUGAUUAGCUAGUUGGUGGGGUAACGGCUCACCAAGGCGACGAUCAGUAGCCGACCUGAGAGGGUGACCGGCCACAUUGGGACUGAGACACGGCCCAAACUCCUACGGGAGGCAGCAGUGGGGAAUAUUGCACAAUGGGCGAAAGCCUGAUGCAGCGACGCCGCGUGAAGGAUGAAGUAUUUCGGUAUGUAAACUUCUAUCAGCAGGGAAGAAAAUGACGGUACCUGACUAAGAAGCCCCGGCUAACUACGUGCCAGCAGCCGCGGUAAUACGUAGGGGGCAAGCGUUAUCCGGAUUUACUGGGUGUAAAGGGAGCGUAGACGGCAUGGCAAGUCUGAAGUGAAAGCCCGGGGCUCAACCCCGGGACUGCUUUGGAAACUGUCAGGCUAGAGUGCUGGAGAGGUAAGUGGAAUUCCUAGUGUAGCGGUGAAAUGCGUAGAUAUUAGGAGGAACACCAGUGGCGAAGGCGGCUUACUGGACAGUAACUGACGUUGAGGCUCGAAAGCGUGGGGAGCAAACAGGAUUAGAUACCCUGGUAGUCCACGCCGUAAACGA